UGAUACGAUCAGACCAAGGCUACUACACCAGAUCCCAUCAGAACUCUGAAGUUAAGCGCCUUUGGGCCGGAAUAGUACUGGGAUGGGU
rnacentral:rRNA from 1 species